rnacentral:rRNA from 1 species
AUGUGGAAGCGCGCCGCCUCCCUCCUCCUCGCCCGCCGCACGGCCCUCGCCGCGCAGCGCGCCCCGGCGAUCUCGGGAUCCGCCGCGGGCGCCACCCGCCGCGCGCCCGCCUUCUUCUCCACCCUCGAUGCGGGGCAGGCGAGGACGCGGGUCGAGGACGUGAUGCCGAUCGCCACGGGGCACGAGCGCGAGGAGAUCGAGGCCGAGCUCCAGGGAAAGAAGCGGUUUGACAUGGACGCCCCCGUCGGCCCAUUCGGCACCAAGGAAGAUCCAGCUAUCAUUCAGUCAUACUUUGACAAAAGGAUUGUUGGUUGCCCUGGCGGUGAAGGAGAGGAUGAGCAUGAUGUUGUGUGGUUUUGGUUGAAGAAAGGCGAGCCACAUGAAUGCCCAGUCUGCACUCAGUAUUUCAAGCUUGAGGUUAUUGGGAACGGAGGAAACCCUGACGGACAUGAUGAUGACGAUGACCACCACCACCAUUAA